GUGGGGAAUAUUGCGCAAUGGGGGAAACCCUGACGCAGCAACGCCGCGUGAAGGAUGAAGGUUUUCGGAUUGUAAACUUCUUUUGUCGAGGACGAAACAAAUGACGGUACUUGACGAAUAAGCCACGGCUAACUACGUGCCAGCAGCCGCGGUAAUACGUAGGUGGCAAGCGUUGUCCGGAUUUACUGGGUGUAAAGGGCGUGUAGGCGGGACGGUAAGUCAGAUGUGAAAUGUAGGGGCUCAACCCCUGAACUGCAUUUGAAACUAUCGUUCUUGAGUGAUGGAGAGGCAGGCGGCAUUCCUUGUGUAGCGGUGAAAUGCGUAGAUAUACGGAGGAACACCAGUGGCGAAGGCGGCCUGCUGGACAUUAACUGACGCUGAGGCGCGAAAGCGUGGGGAGCAAACAGGAUUAGAUACCCCGGUAGUCC
rnacentral:rRNA from 1 species